rnacentral:tRNA from 1 species
GAGGUUAUAGUUCAGUGGUAGAGUGAGUGCUUAGCAUGCAUGAGGUCCUGGGUUCAAUCCCCAGUACCUCCA